CCGCGAAGCCUUCCCUUCGGAGACGCACAAACAAGCGCUUGCUUCCCCCUUCGGGGGUUCGCGACCGUUUCCCCCAAAACGUCUCCGGGCGAAAGUCCCCGGACACCAGGGCAGAAAGUGCCAGCCAUAAGGGCCGGACCCUCCUCGAACCCGCCUCGCUCCCUGCCCCCGCCUCUUACCU
rnacentral:RNase_MRP_RNA from 1 species